rnacentral:rRNA from 1 species
AGUGAACGCUGGCGGUAGGCCUAACACAUGCAAGUCGAACGGCAGCACAGUAAGAGCUUGCUCUUACGGGUGGCGAGUGGCGGACGGGUGAGGAAUACAUCGGAAUCUACUUUUUCGUGGGGGAUAACGUAGGGAAACUACGCUAAUACCGCAUACGACCUACGGGUGAAAGCAGGGGAUCUUCGGACCUUGCGCGAUUGAAUGAGCCGAUGUUGGAUUAGGUAGUUGGCGGGGUAAAGGCCCACCAAGGCGACGAUCCGUAGCUGGUCUGAGAGGAUGAUCAGCCACACUGGAACUGAGACACGGUCCAGACUCCUACGGGAGGCAGCAGUGGGGAAUAUUGGACAAAGGGCGCAAGCCUGAUCCAGCCAUACCGCGUGGGUGAAGAAGGCCUUCGGGUUGUAAAGCCCUUUUGCUGGGAAAGAAAAGCAGCAGGUUAAUACCCCGCUGUUCUGACGGUACCCAAAGAAUAAGCACCGGCUAACUUCGUG